UCUACCUGCCCAGACCCCGCCUGGCCUCCCAGCCCCACAGGGCGCGGACGGAGAAAGGCCACGUCGCUGAGCCCAGGCCACGGAAUGGAGAGGCCCGAGGACAUGGUUCAGCUCCAGAGAUGAGCGUCAUUCCAUCGAGAGGUGAGGAAGAACGAAGCACACAGUGGGGCCCAGUAGGGAAAAGGCCAAGUUCUGCCUAAACGUGAAAGAGCGAAGUGCUGCCGGCUGCACGAGAGCAGGAGCCGAUCCGUGUCCGUCGACACCGCACGCUCCUGUCUCACGAGUUUGGUUUUCGUGGCAGCAGGCAGCCGAACCUUGGUUCCGGUUCCAGUCCCACCCAGACUCGGGAAUCGGCACCGCUGGGGGCGGGCCCAGCAGCCAGCCAGGUCACUCUGAUGCCUACUCCAGUCUGAGAACCACCCUCUUCCUGGACAGAAGUCCAGACAUGCCCUGUAUGGAGGCGAGGAAGAAUGAGCGGCAGAGAGAAAGGGCAAGUGGCAACAUUAAAAUAUUUCUUCUCAUUGAUCCUCUUUUAAUGUGCACGAAUUCCGUGCACUGGGCCACUAAUGUAAGUAUAAAGCAGCAUGAGAAACACAUGCAAGUACAAAAGGGAAGAAUGAAAAUGAACAACGAAGCUGCCCAAUUCCUCCAUGGGCAUUGGCCCUUGGACCCAGGCCCCCCGUGAUGACGGCAGGCACCCCGCAGGGAGGACACAGCGGGAGGGCACGGGCCGAGGGGAAGGGCAUCCGUCCACGUGCAGUUUGGAGAAGAUCAAAGACUCCCUCUCCCUGCGGAGGCCCAGCUCGCGGCCUGGCUGCAACGCCAUCUCGCUGCCCCGCGUCCAGAGAGAAAACAGGCCUCUGUUUGCACAACUGCCUCCAUCACUAGGGACGCUCCACAGACCCAGGUUACAACCGUCUCAAAAUAGCCACUUACGGAAUCACAGUCUUAACUGGUUCAAUCUGUUUGAACAAUGAGUCGUUGAACGUCAUGAUCACUUAAAAAUAACACAAUUUUCCAAAAAGAAGUGCAAUCAGCCCCCGUCCUGUCCUCAGUCUCCCUCCUCCGGCCGUUUGGUGUCUGACCUUCAGGAAGCGACGACGAAGAUCGAUUCCUUGGUCUGUCCCUUCGCUCAGGGCCUCGGAAGGGGGCGUGUCCUGCUCACCCAUGGACGCAAUAUUGGAAACAUCUAAACGGGCCUCUGUAGCUGCAGGUCGUCCCGGGAUGGACACCGUCAGUGUCACCCUGAGCUCCGAGCCAGGAAAAGGCCAGGGAGGGCAUCGUGUCUGUCGAGUUCACGGAUGGAUCCCAGCUGUGGCCGUCCCUGCUCCAAAAGUGAACCCUCCCUCCCCCCCCCCAAGUGGGGCUCAUGUCCUGGAUCAGGAAGCGUCGACAUUGCCUCUCAUCUGGAGUUUGGGGGGCGACACACUCUCCUAAGCAAAGCCAGGCCUCGCCGGCAACAGCUCGCUCCCCAUCCCUCCACACCUUCCCUCACUCAGCCUCGAGGGAGGGAGGAGGUGGUGCUGUCGCUGAGCCUAACUCGCUGGUGGAAGUGGAGGCCAUUAGCUCACCGAGGUGCCAGGUGUGGGGCCAGGAUCACUGACCGGCGUGUCCACGGCUCCUGGUGUAAGGGCCGAGACAGCACCAAACCCAGCUCUUCUCUGUCAGAGCCCAGAGCGUGUCCCCUACACGCAGGGGCGGGCGCCGCGUGCAGUGCGAGCUCAUCACGAUGAACCCUGGUGACCACAGAAACCAUCUUCAACAUCCAACUUCUCAGCACACGCCUCACCCUGGGUAAACAUCAUCGCUCGUUCAAAUUCAUGCAGGUGCAACAUCCCCGACAUAGGAGUUAAAAUCACACACACACGUACACACACACGUGCACGUGUGUGCAUGUGUGUGCUCACAUGUGUGUGCAUGCACAUGCACGCUGGGCGAGGCUCUGGCUGCAGCGGGAGACACACUGGCUCUGCCUUCUCGGUGCCUGGCCCCCUGGACCCCGGACCCGGGGAGGCUGCAGAGAGAGAGCCCUGAGAGCGGCAGCUGCUCCUCUGGGCUCGGCUGUGGGGACCCAACCAGCCGCUGAGGCUGAGAGGCUGGAACCGUGUCAAACUUGAAGUGAAACAAAUGCUUUUAGGAGAGCCUGGGAGUGAGACUGAGCCACCGAGUGAGCGC